GCUCCGAUGGCUGAGUGGUUAAGGCAUUGGACUUGAAAUCCAAUGUCGUCUUCCUGCGCAGGUUCGAAACCUGCUCACACCG